rnacentral:rRNA from 1 species
CCCUUAGAUGUUCUGGGCCGCACGCGCGCUACACUGACCAGUGCAACAAGCAUCCGUCCUUGGCCGACAGGCCCGGGCAAUCUUUGAACGCUGGUCGUGAUGGGGAUAGACUUUUGCAAUUUUUGGUCUUCAACGAGGAAUUCCUAGUAAACGCAAGUCAUCAACUUGCAUUGAUUACGUCCCUGCCCUUUGUACACACCGCCCGUCGCACCUACCGAUUGAAUGGUCCGGUGAAGCCUCCGGAUUGGCGCGCACCUCGGUGCCGCCGAGAAGUUGGCUAAACCUUACCAUUUAGAGGAAGGAGAANUCGUAACA